AUGGAAUAGGUUUCCUUCGGCAGAACGUUAUCUUAUUAUUUGAAGUUUUCCAAAGUGGUCCCACCGACUUGCCUUCCAAUUUACACCCUAAGGGGUACUUGAGUCAUUUUACAGAGAGCCAAUGAAACCCUAGUUGAAUUUUGGCCUAUAAAAGAGAGGUUUUUAACACAAUUCAUGUGUGGCUUCCCUAAACAAAAUUUGAGAAAGCUUUUACAUCUUCCUUCUUCUUCCAUGCUUUGUGAAUCUCUCUUCUUGCACAAACAAAGAUCAUGAUUUGUGAAUCUCUCUUGGUUUAUGGAUAAUUGUGAGAGGGAGAUAUGCUAGAGCUACAAAUAGCAAGAAAGGAGUUACCUCAAGUUUAUCUUCUCUAGCCCUGUGGUUCUUUGGAAGCUGUCUGAAUUCCUUGGUUAAGCGAAGGCACUCCUGUACAUUUUCUGGGGAGACAAAAUCUACAGCAACUUUUGUACAUGACUGUUUAUGGGGAAUAGGAUGUUAAAUAUAAGUUUCACAUUGGUCAUAAAGCAUAUUCUCUAUCUACGCAUGAAAGCCCUAUUUCAUAAAACAACUGUCUCAAGAUUUACCUUGAGAUUCCUAACUUGGUGUGGGCAACCAGCAGGAAUAAAUAUGGCCUCCCCGACUCUUUGUUCAAAUGUCCAAGGUUCAACACCUGGAAGUGUGAAACAAUUCAAGUUAGUGCUGUUAAGGAUAGGAAUGUAAAUAUUGUGAUUGAGAUUAAAUCCCUAAAAUCAGGGGAUUUCUAGAUUAGGAUAAUUGUAUAUUUUUCCUUAUCAAAUUUAUUGAAACUGUAUAUAUUCCCCACAGGUUUGAGGGAAUAAUCAAGCUAUUUUUCUCCAGGCUAUUUUCAAAGAGAAUACUUACCAAAUUCCUCCUUCAA